rnacentral:rRNA from 1 species
UACGUAGGGGGGCAAGCGUUGUCCGGAUUUAUUGGGCGUAAAGAGCGUGUAGGCGGUUAGGUAGGUCCGUUGUGAAAACUCGAGGCUCAACCUCGAGACGCCGAUGGAAACCAUCUGACUAGAGUCCGGAAGAGGAGAGUGGAAUUCCUGGUGUAGCGGUGAAAUGCGCAGAUAUCAGGAGGAACACCAAUAGCGAAGGCAGCUCGCUGGGACGUGACUGACACUGAGGCGCGAAAGCGUGGGGAGCGAACAGG